UUGGAGGGCAAGUCUGGUGCCAGCAGCCGCGGUAAUUCCAGCUCCAAUAGCGUAUAUUAAAGUUGUUGCAGUUAAAAAGCUCGUAGUUGAAUUUCGGAGUUUGUCGGUUGGUCGGGCUUCAUUGUCCGCACUGGCCUGAUGGAUUCCUACCUUCUGAAUAACCAGCAUGCUAUUAAGUUAGUGCGUUGGGGAAGCAGAGCUAUUACCUUGAAAAAAUUAGAGUGCUUAAAGCAGGCUUAUGCUUGAAUAGAUUAGCAUGGAAUAAUAAAAUAGGACGGCAUGGUUCUAUUUUGUUGGUUUCUAGGAUCACCGUAAUGAUUAAUAGGGAUAGUUGGGGGCAUUAGUAUUCAAUUGUCAGAGGUGAAAUUCUUGGAUUUAUUGAAGACUAACUUCUGCGAAAGCAUUUGCCAAGGAUGUUUUCAUUAAUCAAGAACGAAAGUUAGGGGAUCGAAGACGAUCAGAUACCGUCGUAGUCUUAACCAUAAACUAUGCCGACUAGGGAUCGGACGAUGUUAAUUUUUAAUGACUCGUUCGGCGCCUUACGGAAAC
rnacentral:rRNA from 1 species